rnacentral:rRNA from 1 species
UACAGAGGUCCCAAGCGUUGUUCGGAUUCAUUGGGCGUAAAGGGUGCGUAGGCGGCGCGGUAAGUCGGGUGUGAAAUCUCGGGGCUUAACUCCGAAACUGCAUUCGAUACUGCCGUGCUUGAGGACUGGAGAGGAGACUGGAAUUUACGGUGUAGCGGUGAAAUGCGUAGAUAUCGUAAGGAGACCAGUGGCGAAGGCGGGUCUCUGGACAGUUCCUGACGCUGAGGCA